GACGAACGCUGGCGGCGUGCUUAACACAUGCAAGUCGAACGGAAAGGCCCUGCUUUUGUGGGGUGCUCGAGUGGCGAAAGGGUGAGUAACACGUGAGUAACCUGCCCUUGACUUUGGGAUAACUUCAGGAAACUGGGGCUAAUACCGGAUAGGAGCUCCUGCUGCAUGGUGGGGGUUGGAAAGUUUCGGCGGUUGGGGAUGGACUCGCGGCUUAUCAGCUUGUUGGUGGGGUAGUGGCUUACCAAGGCUUUGACGGGUAGCCGGCCUGAGAGGGUGACCGGCCACAUUGGGACUGAGCUACGGCCCAGACUCCUACGGGAGGCAGCAGUGGGGAAUAUUGCACAAUGGGCGGAAGCCUGAUGCAGCAACGCCGCGUGCGGGAUGACGGCCUUCGGGUUGUAACCCGCUUUCGCCUGUGACGAAGCGUGAGUGACGGUAAUGGGUAAAGAAGCACCGGCUAACUACGUG
rnacentral:rRNA from 1 species